AUAUUGUGGUGUGGGCAUUCUCUCUGCAGGUCCUUGAACCUAUUCCGUGCUUCCUUCAACGUAUCAUCAAGAUCCUGUUGGAAGGUAGCAAGCUUGUUUCUGAUUUC
rfam:Beta vulgaris subsp. vulgaris chromosome 5, whole genome shotgun sequence.